rnacentral:rRNA from 2 species
UGGGGAAUAUUGCGCAAUGGGGGAAACCCUGACGCAGCAACGCCGCGUGAAGGAUGAAGGUUUUCGGAUUGUAAACUUCUUUGACGAGGGACGAAACAUGACGGUACCUCGAAAACAAGCCACGGCUAACUACGUGCCAGCAGCCGCGGUAAUACGUAGGUGGCGAGCGUUGUCCGGAAUUACUGGGUGUAAAGGGCGAGUAGGCGGGGCUGCAAGUCAGGUGUGAAAUUUAUGGGCUUAACCCGUAAACUGCAUUUGAAACUGCGGUUCUUGAGUGAUGGAGAGGCAGGCGGAAUUCCUAGUGUAGCGGUGAAAUGCGUAGAUAUUAGGAGGAACACCAGUGGCGAAGGCGGCCUGCUGGACAUUAACUGACGCUGAUGCGCGAAAGCGUGGGGAGCAAACAGG